AGAGUUUGAUCAUGGCUCAGAAUCAACGCUGGCGGCGUGCCUAACACAUGCAAGUCGCACGAGAAAGGGUAGCAAUACCUGAGUACAGUGGCGCACGGGUGAGUAACACGUGAAUAAUCUACCUCCGAGUGGGGAAUAACUUAGGGAAACCUGAGCUAAUACCGCAUAACACUUACGAGUCAAAGCAGCAAUGCGCUUGGAGAGGAGUUCGCGGCAGAUUAGUUAGUUGGCGGGGUAAUGGCCCACCAAGACGAUGAUCUGUAUCCGGCCUGAGAGGGCGCACGGACACACUGGAACUGAAACACGGUCCAGACUCCUACGGGAGGCAGCAGUGGGGAAUUUUGCGCAAUGGGGGAAACCCUGACGCAGCAACGCCGCGUGGAGGAUGAAAUCCCUUGGGAUGUAAACUCCUUUCGAUCGGGACGAUUAUGACGGUACCGGAAGAAGAAGCCCCGGCUAACUUCGUGCCAGCAGCCGCGGUAAUACGAGGGGGGCGAGCGUUGUUCGGAAUUAUUGGGCGUAAAGGGUGCGUAGGCGGUUUGAUAAGUCUGAUGUGAAAUCUAUGGGCUCAACCCAUAGUCUGCAUUAGAAACUGUCGGGCUUGAGUAUGGGAGAGGUGAGUGGAAUUUCCGGUGUAGCGGUGAAAUGCGUAGAUAUCGGAAGGAACACCUGUGGCGAAAGCGGCUCACUGGACCAUUACUGACGCUGAUGCACGAAAGCUAGGGGAGCAAACAGGAUUAGAUACCCCAGUAGUCC
rnacentral:rRNA from 1 species